rnacentral:rRNA from 1 species
AGAGUUUGAUCAUGGCUCAGAACGUACGCUGGCGGCACGCCUAACACAUGCAAGUCGAACGAAGUAGCAAUACUUAGUGGCAGACGGGUGAGUAACAUGUAGGUAUCUGCCCUUUGGCCUGGAAUAACACGAGGAAACUUGUGCUAAUACCGGAUAAGUCUUUACGGAGAAAGCUUUAUGCACCAUUGGAUGAGCCUGCACUUGAUUAGUUUGUUGGUGGGGUAAUGGCCUACCAAGACUGUGAUCAAUAGCUGAUUUGAGAGGAUGAUCAGCCACAUUGGGACUGAGACACGGCCCAAACUCCUACGGGAGGCAGCAGUGGGGAAUCUUGCACAAUGGAGGAAACUCUGAUGCAGCGAUGCCGCGUGAGUGAAGAAGGCCUUUGGGUUGUAAAGCUCUUUCGUCGGGGAAGAAAAUGACUGUACCCGAAUAAGAAGGUCCGGCUAACUUCGUGCCAGCAGCCGCGGUAAUACGAAGGGACCUAGCGUAGUUCGGAAUUACUGGGCUUAAAGAGUUCGUAGGUGGUUGAAAAAGUUAGUGGUGAAAUCCCAGAGCUUAACUCUGGAACUGCCAUUAAAACUUUUCAGCUAGAGUAUGAUAGAGGAAAGCAGAAUUUCUAGUGUAGAGGUGAAAUUCGUAGAUAUUAGAAAGAAUACCAAUUGCGAAGGCAGCUUUCUGGAUCAUUACUGACACUGAGGAACGAAAGCAUGGGUAGCGAAGAGGAUUAGAUACCCUCGUAGUCCAUGCCGUAAACGAUGUGUGUUAGACGUUGGAAAUUUAUUUUCAGUGUCGCAGGGAAACCGAUAAACACACCGCCUGGGGAGUACGACCGCAAGGUUAAAACUCAAAUGAAUUGACGGGGACCCGCACAAGUAGUGGAGCAUGUGGUUUAAUUCGAAGAUACGCGCAGAACCUUACCAACACUUGACAUGUUCGUCGCGACUCUAAGAGAUUAGAGUUUUCGGUUCGGCCGGACGAAACACAGGUGCUGCAUGGCUGUCGUCAGCUCGUGUCGUGAGAUGUUGGGUUAAGUCCCGCAACGAGCGCAACCCU